rnacentral:rRNA from 1 species
UACAGAGGUCCCAAGCGUUGUUCGGGUUCACUGGGCGUAAAGGGUGCGUAGGCGGUCGGGUAAGUCUGGCGUGAAAUCUCCAAGCCUAACUUGGAAACUGCGUUGGAUACUAUCCGGCUCGAGGAAUGGAGGGGAGACUGGAAUACUUGGUGUAGCAGUGAAAUGCGUAGAUAUCAAGUGGAACACCAGUGGCGAAGGCGGCCUUCUGGACCAGUACUGACGCUCAUGCACGAAAGCGUGGGGAGCAAACAGG